GCAUUAAUGGGGUAGUGGUAACCUGGGUCGUUGCCAUAAGUUGAAGAUAACACAUACCAGCUUGUAUUGUUUGUUGGUCAUUCGACCCGCCGGGGGUUCGAUUCCCUCUUAAUGCA